GUGAGGAAUUUUCCGCAAUGGGCGAAAGCCUGACGGAGCAAUGCCGCGUGAAUGAUGAAGGCCUUAGGGUUGUAAAGCUCUUUUACCAGGGAUGAUAAUGACAGUACCUGGAGAAUAAGCUCCGGCUAACUCCGUGCCAGCAGCCGCGGUAAUACGGAGGGAGCUAGCGUUGUUCGGAAUUACUGGGCGUAAAGCGCACGUAGGCGGUUACUCAAGUCAGAGGUGAAAGCCCGGGGCUCAACCCCGGAACUGCCUUUGAAACUAGGUAACUAGAAUCUUGGAGAGGUCAGUGGAAUUCCGAGUGUAGAGGUGAAAUUCGUAGAUAUUCGGAAGAACACCAGUGGCGAAGGCGACUGACUGGACAAGUAUUGACGCUGAGGUGCGAAAGCGUGGGGAGCAAACAGGAUUAGAUACCCGGGUAGUCC
rnacentral:rRNA from 1 species